CAACAAUUUACCUAUGUUCUAAAUUAAGGAGCUUUUAUUCCCAAACAUUUAGGAGAUUGAAGAUUUCUUGAUGGAAGAAGGAGAUUCUUCUGUAAGGAGAUGGGAGGACCUCGAUAUUGAUAUCUUGGUGAAGAUACUCCAGUCUUUUGACCUUUUUGAGUUGACUUCUGGACUUGCUCAUGUUUGUAGUGCGUGGCGAUUGGCUUGUACUGAUCAACUUCUUUGGAUGACGCUGGACUUGUCGAUAUUAAAAUCAAAUUAUAUCAAAAUCCCAUUAGAGCCAUAUGUAUAUGUGGACUGUCAGUCGGAUAAAACAUUGACCAGCCUCCUGAAGAUUUGUUUGAACCUCAGUAGAGGAAACAUACGAACAUUAAUCUUCCAUUACAAUUUGUAUGUCAGCGACGAUCAGUUGACUUAUACUGCCGAGAGGUGUCCACGUCUAAAACGUCUCGUUAUGCCUGCUUGGAACAGAAUAAAAAAGACAGGAAUAUGCAGGGCUAUUCAUAUGUGGGAAGAUCUUGAAUCACUGACGAUGCCUAGUAUAGCAAAUCCUCCGUAUGUCAUGGAGGAAAUUGCAAGGAGUUGCAAAAAUUUUGCUGAGCUCAAGAUAAUGGGGCCCUGUGAUAUGCUCUUUGCAUCUACACUGGUAUCAUUUCUUCCAAACUUGAAAGUGUUGAGUGUGAGGUGCACAUUGUUAUCUAAAAGUGCCUUGGUUACUAUCUUGGACGGGUUAAAAAAGUUGGAAGUGCUCAACAUCUCUCAUUGCGUAAUUACUGAAGACCCUCCACCUGCACCAAAGAAAAUUCUGACCAAACUUGAUCAUUCAAUUGUCGAAAAAGCAUCUAGGUUACACAAAUUCCUAACCUGCAUGAGUGACUCAUGCAUCAUGUGUCAGCGCUGUCGAAAUGAUGAAGGGCUGAUGAGGUGGUAUAAGUAUGAAGAACUCUGGAAAGUGGAUGAGGUGAGAUCUCUUGCAA
rnacentral:misc_RNA from 1 species